rnacentral:rRNA from 1 species
AUGUCUGGCCUCCUCCGGUGGAGGCGCCUCGCCGCCGCAGCCACGCGCGCCGCCUCCACCCUGACCGCAGCCGAAUGCUCCCCUGCCAUCGCGGCGGUCCCGCCACCGCACCGCCUCCUCCAGGAUCGGCGCAAGUGGGAGGGCCCCUCGUCCUCCUCCGGGGGCGGCUCCUCCUCGUCCUCCUCUAACGACGAGCCGGAGCCGCGGCGUAUCCGCGCGGAGGCCCACUGCCCGCGCUGCUCCAAGCACAUGGACAUCCUCUUCUCCCACCGCGCCCAUCCCCCUUCAGCCCCCGCCGCUGUCGGCGGCUAUCAGACGCUCAACCUCUGUCCCAACUGCCGCACCGCCUACUUCUUCCACCCCAACCACCUCGCGCCACUUCAGGGCACCUUCGUCGAGAUCGGCCGCGUCCGGGCUGACCUGCCCCCGGACGGCGUCAGGGUCAGGGACCCCUCCUCCUGGGAAGCCAUCCGUGCGAGCUCGUCUUCGCGCAACGAUGGGGAUGGUAGUGGCGUGGCCGUGCAUGUGCCGCCCGGGCCACCGUUCCAUCCUAGCCUUAACGUCGUCCGCGUAGCCGGAGGCGGUGGCGGGGGAGGAGCUGCUGGCGGUGGGGGCGAGGAGGGAGGGGGAAAGGACGGAUGGGGCGGGUCGAACCUUGGGAAGGAUUUUCCGACACCUAAGGAGAUUUCCAAGGGGCUCGAUAAGUAUGUGAUUGGGCAAGACCGAGCCAAGAAGGUGCUAUCUGUUGCAGUGUACAACCACUAUAAACGUAUAUACCAUCAGUCUCUACAGAAAGGGUCUGGAGCAGAUUUGGGUUGUUCUGAUGGAGAAGCUGAUGGUGAAGACAAUGUUGAACUAGAGAAAAGCAAUAUACUGUUAAUGGGCCCUACUGGUUCAGGUAAAACUUUGCUUGCAAAGACAUUAGCUCGGUUUGUGAAUGUGCCAUUUGUAAUUGCUGAUGCAACAACAUUGACCCAGGCAGGGUAUGUAGGAGAAGAUGUAGAAUCUAUAUUGUACAAGUUACUUACGGUGGCAGAUUUUAAUGUGCAAGCAGCACAACAAGGGAUGGUGUACAUUGAUGAAGUUGAUAAGAUCACUAAGAAGGCUGAGAGCCUUAACAUCAGUAGAGAUGUAUCAGGCGAAGGUGUUCAGCAGGCUUUGUUGAAAAUGCUGGAAGGCACAAUAGUCAAUGUCCCUGAGAAAGGAGCAAGGAAGCAUCCUCGUGGUGAUAAUAUACAGAUAGAUACGAAGGAUAUUCUGUUUAUAUGUGGGGGUGCUUUUAUUGACUUGGAGAAAACUAUAUCAGAGAGGCGGCAGGAUUCUUCUAUUGGAUUUGGGGCACCUGUCCGUGCAAGCAUGAGGACUAGUGGUAUUUCAAGUGCUCAAGUGACAUCGUCCUUGUUAGAAUCAGUUGAGAGCGGCGAUCUUAUAGCAUAUGGACUCAUUCCGGAGUUCAUUGGACGUUUUCCUAUCCUUGUCAGCUUGGCAGCACUAAAUGAGGACCAACUUGUUCAGGUUCUCACCGAGCCAAAGAAUGCUCUAGGUAAACAAUUCAAGAAGUUGUUCAGCAUGAAUAAUGUUAAGCUUCACUUCACGGAUGCUGCACUAAGAAUAAUUGCCCAGAAGGCAAUGUGCAAAAAUACAGGUGCACGGGGCUUAAGGACUAUCCUUGAGAAUAUUCUCAUGGAUUCCAUGUAUGAGAUUCCAGAUACAAAAUCUGGAGAGAAGCGAAUUGACGCAGUGGUUGUAGAUGAAGGUGCAGUAGGAUUGGUGGACCGACCUGGCUGUGGAGCUAAGAUCCUUUACGGCGAUGGUGCAUUUGAUCGUUAUCUAUCCCAGAUAAAGGCAAUGGGAGACGGAGCAGGAAGCGAAGUGGACGGGGAUCCUGACCUUUCUUCGUCAAGAGCCAUGAGCAUGUGA